CUCCAGGUCGCUGGCCACGAUGGAGUAGGACACGCGGCCGUUGGGCCCUAGGUCGGGGUCGGAGGCGCUGACUUGGGCGAUGGAGGCUCCUGGAGGGUUAUUCUCAGCCACGUGGACCACAUAGGAGGCCUGGUGGAAAAUCGAAUCCUGGUCCUGUGUUUUGAAGAGAACAACAACCAUUCCUGGAUGGGAAUCCUCCAAAAUUUGAUCAGAGAGAGAAGUAAUGAUUAUUUCAGGGAUGUUGUCGUUUUCAUCUAGAACUUCUAUGAUUACUUUGCACUGGGUAGAGAGGGAUCCUCGGUCCUUCGCUUCUACAUCCAUGGUAUAUCUUUCUACUUCUUCGAAAUCCAAGGGUUGCUGAGUUAUAAUGUUUCCUGUGGCAGAAUCCAGAGAGAACACAUGCUGGGCUUUAUUAGCCAUACCAAGGAAUGAGUAGGUGAUCUCCGCGUUGAAGCCUUCGUCUUGGUCAGUGGCACUCACCUGCACCACUGAGGUGCCUGGGGGUACACCUUCAGGAAGACUGACCCUAUACAUAUCUUGGCUGAACACUGGGGGGUUAUCAUUGGCAUCCACCACCAGGAUUCGGAUCUGAGCUGUGCUGCUUCGUGGUGGAUUUCCAUUGUCAAAUGCUGUCAGCACCAGAUGAUGAGAGCUUUGUGUUUCCCGGUCCAGGGUCUUCUUCAGUACUAAUUCUGGAUAUUUGCCACCAUCGGGAUUGUCUUUCACCACCAAGGAGAAGUACUCAUUAGGGCUUAGCUGGUAUUUGCUCAGUGAAUUCGUACUAAUAUCAGGAUCUUUUGCAGACUCAAGAAUUGUUCCCAUCCCUGGAGUGACAGAUUCACUGAUUUCUAAGUUUAUUUCAUCUUUAUGGAACUGAGGGGCAUGGUCAUUAAUAUCCUCAACAACCACAAUGAUAUGAAAGAUAUUUAAAGGAUUUUCCACCACGGCUUCCAACUGCAACUCACAUCUUCUUCUCUCUUUGCAUAUCUGCUCCCGGUCUAUUCGGUCCUUCACUAGUAAGUCCCCGCUCUCUGCGUCUACGUUGAAAAGCAGCUUCUCCGUGCUGACUCGCAGCUUCCUAGCUGACACGUCCAGGACACUGAGCCCGAGAUCCUUGGCGAGGUUCCCCACCACCGAGCCCUUGGCCAGUUCCUCGGGAAUCGAGUAGCGGAUCGGCUCGCAGAGCGCGGGGUAGAACAAAGGUAGCAGGAAGGGAAACAGUACCUGCCGCCUGCCGGCCGGGCGCCUCUGAACGCAGCUCCCUCCCAUUGCGCGCUCUAGUUCUCGCUGGGUCCCAGUCUUUCUAGCUAGAAAAAGUGCCCGCUAUCACACUGGUAGCAUUAGGCCCAGAACAUACAGAGCCUCCAGUCUUGGGGCUGGGAAUCUGUGUGUGCUGGGGAGAGUCUGCGCGGCCAGAAGCCCCUGCGUGUAUGGGGUUCCUUCACUCUGUGUUGUUGACUGCGCAGGAACACCCAGGCUAGAGGCUGAAGAAUCCCGGGCGACAGCACUUGCCCUGUACUGGCCGACAGCGGCGCCCAGAGGCUUUGUGUGGAACCGCAAUCUAGUUUUUCUCUUUCAGGAAAUCUUGUUAAAAUGUAAGAUGAUAACAGCUAAUAUCCUAAAUCUUAUUUCUCAAUGUUUUCAUUCUCAUCAUGAAACGUGUUUCAUAUGGUAAAAAUUAUAAUAUGUUGUAUAUGUUAAAAAUUUACAUAGACUUUGAAUAAGUAAAGUACCUCUUUCAAAAUUCAAAAAAGCACAAAAGAAUAUAGAGUGUAAAGUAGCUCUUCCAUCCCAUGGCCCAUUGCUAUUCAGUUCUUGCAUCCAGAGGUAAUCACUGUUGUUCCUUUUAAAAGUAAUUAUCCACAAAGGUAAGUACUGAAAAUAAGCAAAAAUCUUUUUGUCUUCAAUCAUAGCUUACAUUUAGCUAGAAAGCAUUAGUCCAUCUCCCAUAUUUAGAAAUUAGAAGGCUGUCAUUCCCAUAGUCAUUACAUUCAUCUAGGGUGUUCUGUGCUGUUUUCAAAUAUAAUAAUUAACAUGAUUUGGUUACAAUAAUUACCACGCUGAAAGAGUAGUUUUUUAAAAACCCUGUAUUUUUCAGAACAGAAUUAUUUAGAUAUAGAUGCGUAAUAAUUUUGACUCCCAAAGAUAGAUUUAAAAUGACUUUCAAUGAUUUAAGUUAAUAACUAUGACCCUAAAGGAUGUGCUCUCUUUCCAUAGACCCAUUGUUGAACAAAUGUUGGAUGACAAUGAGAAAAAUCAUAGUCUCAUAAAUAUUUUGAGACACAUUAGGAUAUUCUUGGACUGUAUGCUACCAUAUUGGUUUGGAAGAAUACUAGUAAUAAGUUAAAAGUAAGAUAUCAAACCAAAUACAUCGCCAGCUUCACUAAAGUAAAUGGCCACAUCAGUAACUCUACUUACUGAUUGUUUAGAAUACUUCUGUGUACUUCUCUGCUUAUAUUCAGAUCUCCCACAGAAAUGACAUUUCUUUCUUGACCUAGUUUAUUUUGAUUCUUAACAUCAGAAUUUUCAUAAAUCCAGGUGGAUCUUCUUUCUUCUAUGUUACAAAGCCACUGAAAUACCCUUGGAACUCAUCUUUUGCUUCUGUUCUUAGGCACAUGUACAAAUGUUUUUUCUUAUUUGGAGAAUUUAACAAAAAAUGCUGGCAGCAUAACCCAAAAUUUGCUUACUUUAACCUUCUAUACGUUCUUUAGCAUCCCUAGUGAGCAAGGAAAGUCAAAUUAAAAUGCUGUCUUCCACAUAACAGUAUGAAAUUAGAAUCACAAGCAAAAAGGAUGCUACACUGUUACAGGGUGCCUAGGUAGCUCAGUCCGUUAAGCAUCUGACUUUUGAUUUUGGCUCAGAUCAUGAUCUUUCAGUUCGUGGGCCUGAGCCCCAUGUGUUCUGUGUUGGGCUCUGCACUGACAGCAUGGAGCCUGCUUGGGAUUCUCUCUCCCUCUCUCUCUGCCCCUCCAAUGCAUGCGCUUUCUCUCAAAAUAAAUAAACUUUAAAAAAAGGAUGCUAAUGUAUUGUUACCAAUUAUGAUUACACUUGGAAAAUUUUAAGCACACAUUGUUAACAAUUGUUAGUAGAAUAUUAAUGAAAAACUUAAAUCCUUCUAGGAAGUAUAUUCAACUGUAAUUGUCACCGCAAGGUAUAUUUUGAAAAAUAAAACCACAAAGGUGUAUUGCUUUUCUCGUUGGGGAAAACAACACUGAGGAACCUGUUCACUGUUUCCAGUGAAGUUAAUGGAUUUGUCUCUGAUAUUCACCUAUUUUACCAGACCUGCCUUCAAAACAAGAACUAAGGUUGCCUAAGAGGCUAAGAUUUUAGCAUGUGGCCAAGAGAAGUGUACAUAAAUUGACAGACACUUAUGGAGGUACUCUCAGGAACUGUCAGUACUGUACUCAACAAAACUAUAAAGUAGAAUGCUCUGCAAAAUCGUAACAGCCUUGUGACCAUAGGCCUUCAUUGGAAUUACGUGAAUAUUUACCAGAAAAUAAAAACAUAUCAGUCUUAAUAACCAUCAAAUUCUACUCUUCAAUGUUUUAGCAAGAAACAAAUAUCACUGAAAUGGAGGGAACAGUGAAAAAAAUAAAGACCAAAAUUUUCUAUCAUGCCAAACCUAAAAGUAAAACCAAUUAUAAUUCUUAAAAGAAAAAGAGUAAAACCAGAACUCACUGGAACCAAAGGGUUAUCUUCUACAGGUAACUUCAAAUCAUCUAACAAAGACAAAGGAUCCUUUUUCUCAAAGCUCUCGUGGCUAAUGAGCAUGUCGGCAUAGUUGGGCUCGGGGAAGAUCGCGUGACUCUUCCGUGAGUCUGCUGUGAGGGAGACCUCAUGGGAAUACGUCUGCAGGAAAGCCCGCACCCCUUCCACACCCACAAAGGGGGAGGUGGGCACACCCACUAGCCCGCCUCCUGAAGCUUGGAGCUGGUGCGACGUGUGCCAGCGCCUCAACCUGAGAGCCAGUAGCACGAUGACAAAAGCGAGGAAGAUGCAGGAAACUAUGGCUACCGCCACGACCAGAUAUAGCGUUAGACCUGAAGCUUCGGAGUCACGUGGAACUUCCAGACUGCCCAGGUCAGCCAGGACAUCUGGGAUGCUGUCAGCAAUGGCCACAGUGAGUGUGACGGUGGCUGAGAGAGGGGGCUGGCCAUGGUCCUGCACCGCCACGACCAGGCUCUGCUUGAGCGCAUCUCUGUCCAGCAGGGCCCGUGCUGUGCGCACCUCGCCUGUGUGCAGCCCCACUGCGAAGAGCCCUGGUUCGCUGGCCUUGAGCAGGCGGUAGGACAGUCGGGCAUUCUGACCUGAGUCUUUGUCCACUGCCACCACCUUAGUGACCAAAUAGCCGGACUCUGAAGAACGGGGUGCCAGCUCCAUUCCAGUGGAAGUGUCAGUGGGUAGGGUGGGGUACAGGAUCUCUGGUGCAUUGUCAUUCUGGUCCAGCACAAAUAUGCUCACAGAAACAUUGCUGCUGAGAGGUGGGUCCCCACUGUCAGUGGCAAUCACCUGAAUCUGUAGAUCAUGAAAUUGCUCAUAGUCGAAAGUUCGCAACGCAUACAGGACUCCUGUGUCAGAGUUUAUGGAGACGUAGGAGGAUAGAGGUGCUUCCUGGAAAGUGUCUUCAGCUAGGGAGUAAAUAACCUGAGCAUUCUCUUUGCUGUCUGGGUCUAGUGCAGUCACAGACAAGAUGGAGGCACCUCUGGGGUUGUUCUCUGGGAUAUAGGUGAAGUAGGAGAUGUGGGAAAAAGUGGGUGGGUUGUCAUUAAUAUCUGCCACUUGCACAGUGAAGUGAGUUUCUGUUAAUAGGGGUGGAUUUCCUCCAUCUGUGGCUGUCACUGUGAUAUUGUAAGAGGAUACCUGUUCCCUGUCAAGGGUUCUGUGUGUCACCAGUCUAUAAUAACCGUCAAUGGAUUUCUCUAACUUAAAUGGUAGAUUGCCUGAUAUGGAACAGGUGACCUGUCCAUUCUGUCCAGAGUCUGGAUCAUGCACAUUUAAAAGGGCUAUGAUAGUUCCCGGAGGUGAGUCUUCCAUCAGGGGACUAAACAGAGAUGUGAUGGUCACCUCUGGAUUGUUGUCAUUUACAUCUUCUACUGUAAUCAAUACUUUUGCCAUUGCAAGAUAUGCUCCUCCAUCUUCUGCUUGUAUUUCUAAUUCAUAGAAAUCUGUUUCUUCGUAGUCUAGAUUUUCUGAUAAUUUUAUUUCCCCAGUAUUUUUGUUUAGUUGGAAUUUCAACAAUUUGUCAGGAACAAAUUUUCGGAAUGAAUAUGUGACUUCUCCAUUGGCUCCUUCAUCCCUGUCUGUGGCAGUGACUGUAAGCAGCUGUGUGCCCACAGGCAAGUUCUCCAGAACACUCACUCGGUAUUCUGGCAAGGUAAAGACCGGUGCAUUGUCAUUUGUAUCAAAGACGAUCACACUGAUGAGAACUGUACCAGAUAGGAGAGGGUCACCCCCAUCGGAGGCAGUGAGGACCAGGUGGUGUAGUGCCUCUUCCUCACGAUCCAGGGCGUGCUUCAGUACCAGCUCCGGGUAUUUGACACCACUGGCAUGACUCUGAACUGCUAAUGAGAAGUACUUAUUGGAGCUGAGCUGGUAGCUCUGGAGGGAGUUCACACCCACGUCUGGAUCAACAGCUUCCAGGAGAGGAAAACGCAUUCCUGGAGCGACAUUUUCAUUAAUUUUUACCUCUACAUUUUCUGCUUGGAAUUUUGGGGCAUUAUCGUUGACAUCAGUUAUUUCUAUUUCUAUCCCAAAAAGUUCCACCCUAUCUUCCACAAGAAUGUUAAAAUUCACCAGACACCGUGCACUCUGACCACAGAGCUCCUCCCGGUCUAUCCUGCCUGCGGUGACCAAACUGCCACUUCUCGGGUUCAGAGCGAAAAGCUGCGUCCUACCUCUGGAGACGAUGCGGACUCCAGGCUCAGCCAGCUCCCAGGGCUCCAGCCCCAGGUCCUUGGAGAUGUUGCCGACGAAAGAGCCUUUCUCUAACUCCUCAGGAACGGAGUAGCGGAUCUGCCGGGCUUCAGCCUCCCAUGACAAACCGAGGAAAAGACAGAACAAAACCAGCGCUUUGCGGUUGGAGUGGUUCCUUUUAGCAGCCAUUGUUGUCUAGUCAAGGAAUUCUCGCCAAGUAAUCACUGGGCACGUUGUGCGUUUUAACGAUUCCUUUUUCUUUGUCUGGCUGCUGGGAGCCUCUGUAGCCUACGCACCUCAAAUUCUGGAGUGAGUUUCACUGCAACCCUGGAGCCGGUUUGUAGGAACUGAGGAGCUUUGCGUAGUCGGAGCCCUGAGAAUCCGGAUUGAGCGCUGGCUGCGUUUCUCUGGGAGAACAGCGGCGCUCAGAGUCCUGAGAAGUUACUGCACCCACUAUGUGUGCAAUGGAAAACACGGUACUCUUUGUUGGAUCUUUCAUUUUACUUUACAAUACUUCUUUGGCUUCUCAACUGAUAUCCCUUAAGUCAACUACUACUUGUAGAUUGCUUAUUGGGUAGGAUAAAUGGAAAGUACUAUAAAAUAUCAAAUGAAAAUAACUGGUCAAAUAUACAUAUUUGUAACACUUUCUGAGUAGAAACAUACUCAUUUCUAGCUAUAUUCACUUAUAAUUUUUAUUUUAGCUUUAACUAAUUGGCCAAUUAAUUAAAUUUGUUGAUGAUUAAUAUUGUGUACAAAUUUUUCAAAAUAUUCUUUUCUAAAAUAGUUUUAUUGAGCCUCCAUGAACUGUUUUGAAAACAAUGUUUUUUUUAUUGUAGGCAUAUAUAAUUAGAAGUUAAUUUGACCUAUUUAAAUUAAUGAAGUAACCGCAAACUAAAAGGAGUAUAACAUGUCUGUGUGGUAAUGGGAAGAAAAAUAUAAGAAUUUCAAGCUACAAUUUUUAAAAACAAAAUAAUGAUGUAGGGUUUUUUUUUUUUUAAGUAAGUAUUUACUCAAAUGAUCUGUUUUCAUCAGAGCACUGAUGCCCAUACAAACAAUCUCUUCUGGCACUUUGUAUGGAAGCCCAAAGUGAAGUGGUUCAGACAUCUUCAAUUCUACCUGCCCAUCAACCCAGCAGAAGUUCUCUCCCCAAAGGUGAGGAGUUUAGAGGUUCACAUCUUUUAUACAGAGAACAGGUUGUUCAGGACUAUUUAUGUCACUAUGCCUCCAAAGUGUGGAACUUUUCAAAGAUUUUAUAUUUUGUCUUCAAAGACUUUAUAUCAGACAAUUAGGGACAGAGACUGAGUGCAAAGGCAGUGACAGUUCAUUUGCUUUCUUGGAAAUUCAUUCUUUUUCAAUGUAGAGGAAAAAAGAUUAGGAAAGAGUACAAUUUGAGCUCCAAGAUAAAUAAACAUAAGAAGAAAGCCAGAAGAACCAAAUGCUGAAGAGAAAAAAUCCUCUAGGGUAGUUAUUAUUAAGUUCUGGGGAGCAUAGAAACCUUGGCAAUGGAAAACAAGUUUGACUCAUCUCCCAAGGAAAAUACGUAUUUCUAUAACUUUGCAUAGAAUUUCAGAAACCUUUCGAUUUGUUCACCAUCUCCCCUCAAAUGCUUAGUUAUUUUAAUUACUGGAAUAAAUGAAGAUACCUAAAUAUAGCCAGGAUAUUAUUUACAAUAAAUGUUUCUUUGAAACAAGCACCUGCUUGAAUAUUUAAUGAGUGGCUUAACAUUAUUAUACUCAAAAUAUAUAAGUAGAAUAUGGAAAAUUCAUCUUAAAUAUUAACAAACUUGAGUAAUUACUUAUUAAUUUAUUCAGUAAGAAGCCACCGCCUGUUUUGCUAACCUGAGCUUGACUAGAUAUCGCCAAUUUAGUGACAUUAUUGCUGAAUUAUAGAGCACUUACAAACCAAGUAACUCUUGAAAAAUAUAAUCUGCAAAAAGUAAAUACUGAGACAAGGUGAUUAGUUAUGGAUUUUCCAAAUAUGACUCAUAUUAAAAAAUACAAUAGUAUGCCUCAAAUAAGAGAAAACAAUAGAAUGUUUCAGAAGACACAAAAAUGUAACUCACCGGUGUGAGCAUCUCAGGAUGUGCAGUCAAAUCAUGCCCACCCUGAAGUGGAAUUAAGGCCCCAGACGAAUCACCGCAAACUAUGUCUUGAGUGGAAUGCAAGAGCUCAUUACAUUUUAGGAAGUUAAACUCUGCCUUUCCGGUUUGGGCAACGCACAAAUUGUAGGAAUAAGGCAAAGUCCCCUCACUGUAGUUAGGAGGAACCACAGGUCCAGACUUGACACAAAGACCAGGCUGAAAGCAGCCCCAGGCAGCGGGGCUGGGGGAGCGGCGCAGGCGCAGGGCCACCGCCAGAAUCACCGCAAGGAGGAAGAGCACCGAGAUCAAGGCCAAAGCCACCACCAGGUAAAACUGCAGCUCGGCCUGGGGGUCAGAGGGCUCCGGACGGUCGCUGACAUCCGGCAGUACUUCUUGGAGGCUGUCGGCGAAAACCAGGUGCAGCGUGGCGGUGGCAGAGAGGGGCGGCUGCCCCCCGUCCCGCACGGCGACCAGCAGGCGCUGGCGGGCCGCGUCCCUGUCGCCCAAAGCACGCGCAGUGCGCACCUCGCCCGUGCGCAGCCCCAGGCUGAAGAGUCCGGGCUCGCUGGCCUGCAGCACGUGGUACGACAGCCACGCAUUGUGUCCCGAGUCGGCGUCCACCGCCACCACCUUGGUGACCAGGUAGCCGGGCUGCGCGGCGCGCGGCACCGUGUCGAAGAGCGCCGAACCGUCGGGCCCCAGCGCCGGGUACAGCACCCUAGGCGCGUUGUCGUUGAGGUCGCCCACCAACACGCGCAGGCUCACGUUGGCGCUGAGCGCGGGCGAGCCCUGGUCGCGGGCCUGCACCGUCAGCUCGAAGGCGCGCAGCUGCUCGUGGUCGAAGGCGCGCUGCGCGAACACCACGCCGCUCUGCGCGCUCACGGACACGUAGGACGCCAGCGCCCGCGGCUCCAGGUCGCUGGCCACGAUGGAGUAGGACACGCGGCCGUUGGGCCCUAGGUCGGGGUCGGAAGCGCUGACUUGGGCGAUGGAGGCUCCUGGAGGGUUAUUCUCAGCCACGUGGACCACAUAGGAGGCCUGGUGGAAAAUCGGUGUGUUGUCAUUGACAUCGGUGAUGUGCAAGGUGAUGGUAGUGCUGGAGGAGAGGGGCGGAAUGCCCCUGUCAGUGGCUGUGAUAGUGACGUUGUAUUCUGGAGUCUGCUCUCGGUCUAGCGGUCCAUCUGUCACCAGCUUGUAAUAAUUAUUAGAAGAGGAGUAAAUCUUGAAAGGAAUAUCCUUUUCUAUGUUACAUGUGACUUCUCCAUUUCCCCCGAAAUCCUUGUCCCGUGUUUUGAAGAGAACAACCACCAUUCCUGGAAGAGAAUCCUCCAAAAUUUCAUCAGAGAGAGAGGUGAUGAUUAUUUCUGGCCUGUUGUCGUUUUCAUCUAGGAUUUCAAUGAUUACUUUACAUUGAGUAGAGAGUCCACCUCCAUCCCUUGCUUCCACUUCCAUGGUAUAUCUUUCUACAUCCUCAAAAUCCAAUGACUGGUUAUUCUUAAUCAUACCUGUUUUCUCAUUCAGCAAGAACAUGUAUCUUGUACUCUGAGCAGUGCUCCUGAAGUAGUAGUUCACUUCUGCAUUGACCCCCUCAUCCUUGUCAGUGGCUGUCACCUGCAACACGGAGGAUCCAGGGGGCAGAUUUUCACUAACACUGAUUCUGUAUUCAUCUUUGCUGAACACCGGAAAGUUAUCAUUAGCAUCCCUGACAGAGAUUUCUAUUCGAGUGGUGGCACUUCUUGGUGGGUUCCCCCCAUCCAAGGCAGUCAAUAUCAAGUGAUGAGAAUGCUGCUCUUCCCUGUCUAGGAGUUUUUCCAAAGUUAACUCUGGAUAUUUACCACCAUCGGAAUUAACUCUAACCAUUAAUGAGAAAUAAGGGUUAGGAUUUAUCUGAUAAUCUUUGACUGAGUUCAUGUUUAUAUCGGGGUCAGUGGCAGGGUCAAGGGAUAUUCGUGCACCUUCUGAUACAGAUUCAAAAAUUUCUAAAAGUAUUUCCUUUUUAUCGAAUUGAGGGGCAUGGUCAUUAAUAUCCUCAACAACCACAAUGAUAUGAAAGAUAUUUAAAGGAUUUUCCACCACGGCUUCCAACUGCAACUCACAUCUUCUUCUCUCUUUGCAUAUCUGCUCCCGGUCUAUUCGGUCCUUCACUAGUAAGUCCCCGCUCUCUGCGUCUACGUUGAAAAGCAGCUUCUCCGUGCUGACUCGCAGCUUCCUAGCUGACACGUCCAGGACACUGAGCCCGAGAUCCUUGGCGAGGUUCCCCACCACCGAGCCCUUGGCCAGUUCCUCGGGAAUCGAGUAGCGGAUCGGCUCGCAGAGCGCGGGGUAGAACAAAGGUAGCAGGAAGGGAAACAGUACCUGCCGCCUGCCGGCCGGGCGCCUCUGAACGCAGCUCCCUCCCAUUGCGCGCUCUAGUUCUCGCUGGGUCCCAGUCUUUCCGGAAAGUCAAAGAAACUGCAAUCCACGGCGUCACUGGAAGAGCAUUCCACCCAUGACAAGCGUACCUGGGAAUCCGUAAAUGUUGGGCAAAGUCUGCGCCUCCAGGAGACCCAGUUGUAUGAGCAGAUUUUCUUCUGUGUUGGUGACUGCCCAGGAAAUCCCAGGCUGGAGACAGAAAUCCCAGGCGACUGCGCUUGCCCUGUACUGGCCGACAGCGGCGCCCAGAGGCCCCGUGUGGAACCGCAGGCAUUUUCCUCUUGAAUCCAAUUGUUCUCUACAAUCUCUAUAAUAUAUAUAUUCCUCUUCGAAAUUCCUAUACAUAUUUAUAUAUAUGCCCUGUACUCUGUGAAGUGCUCCUGAGGUAGUUGUUUACUUCUGCAUUGACCCCCUCGUCCUCCUGAGUGGCUGUCAACUGCAACACGGAGGACUGGGGGCCAAUUACAUACAAAUAGAAACAUACGAUAUUUAUUUCUUUAUAUAUAGAAUAUGUAUAUAUUGCUUCUUGAAAAUGAACUUAUAUAAUAGCCCCUAAUUUUAGUAUUAUAUUAUUACAGACUAUAUGCUUAGUGUUUUAAAGAAAUUUAUUACAGAAAAAUUUCAAACUUCUACAAAGUAGGGAGUAUUAUUGAAUCUUCAUAUACUCAUCACCCAAUAACAAUAACGAUCAACACAAGGCCAUCUUCAUUUAAUAUAAUUUGUACACCCUCAUUAUUUUGAAGCAAAUCCAAGAUACUUUAACUCUUAAGAUGAAACAUUAAGAUUAAUAAGGAUUUUAUAUUUAAGCCUAUUUUGUUAUAUAAAAUGUUACCAAUACAAAAGUCUAUCUAGUUUAAGAAAACUAGAAUUCAACAUUUUCCACACUGCCCAUUCACCCAGUGAGCUUUGUGUUCUGUUUUAAAGGCAAGUGAUAUUAAUGGUAGAGAAUAGUAGUUACUGACCGACAAGCCUUCAUCACUAUGUUAUGUUUUUUCCCAAGUUAACACAUACUUAAUAUUUGUAAAUACUAAGUACCAAUGGUUACUCGCGAGGACAGAAACUUCAAGUGACAGUUUUCCUAUUUCAUAGUUAAAAAUAUGAUCCUGAAGCAUGCUUUAAUUUUUUCCUACUAAAUUAGGAGUAAGGAGUAUUUGAAAUCAGUAUAACAUCUGUAUGUCAUAAUGGCUGUCCAGAUGUUACCCCUAUUAGCCAGCACUUUUCAAAUAGAAUUUUUGAGUCCACUUCAUAGUUUAUUUUUAAAGUCUCCUAGAAAGUCAUUUAUUACUCGGAAUGCCACUAUGUUUAAAAUAAAAUGAAAUAGGGGCAUCUGGGUCGCUCAGUCAGUCAUGUUUGAUUUCAGCUCAGGUCAUGAUCUCGCGGUUUAAGAGUUUGAGCCCUACAUCAGGUUCUCUGCUCUCUGUGCGGAGCCUGCUUGGGCUCUUCUGUCCCCUCUCUGCCCCUCCCUCACUCAUUGCCCCCCUCCUCAAAAAAUAAACUUGAAAAAAUAUUAUUCCUUUCUUAUAUUCAAAAGCUAGUAAAAUAUUCUUAGAACCUCUUCCAGCAGUUCCUGAGAAUAUUUUCCUAAGUUGUCUUCCUUAUCCAGGUUUAUUUCUAGCCUCAAGGUUGGAGAAUUGAGCCAUAAAUAACAGACAGUUGAAUAAUGUUUAUUUCCCUUGUUUUGUCCUCAACAGUGUUCAUUCUCAGAAACCCCUCUAAGUGAAUUGUGAUUCUUCCUCAGAAGUGAUCUUUAAAUUCAAACAACCUCUACAAACAUGUGAUCUGGAAAACAUAACCUCAAAGGGGGGUUGUCCUAUAAUAGAAACAGAAAAGCAGAAGCAGAAAAAUCUGGGCUCUCAGUUUCUUCAAGAAGAAUGCAUGUGUUUUCUCAUUAAUUUACCUUCACAUAGUGUCAGCUGUAUUUAUGUUUCAGAGGUAUGUAAGAAGUUCAAAGAUAAGUAGGAAGUUCACUAUGUGGCCACUGAAGAUAGCAACAAUAAUAAAUUUCAGGAAUGGAAAACCACCUCUAAGAAUUAGUAGUGAACUGAUAAUCAACCAAGGAACCCCACCCCAAUAGCCCAUAUCAACGGCUCAAUAAUGAGAGAAGCCCCAUGAAAAAGAUAUCCAUUGACCCUAGGUUAAUUUAGGUUAAUUAUGAGAAACUUAUAUCAGUGAUCUAACCAGUAAAUGCCUCCUAUAGAUGUUAGAACAAAACAAGGCCCAGUAAAACUUGGAUGGUGAGAAAUAUGUUAAAGAGAAUGUAUCAUACCUUAAGUGGAAACCUUAAAGAGAAAACCAAAUCAUAAGAGAAAAUAAAGGAAAAAGUUGAACUCA